ensembl:lincRNA B230112J18Rik RIKEN cDNA B230112J18 gene
GUGGAAAGGCCUAAGAUUUCUGUAAAAGCAGGGGUCAGUGAAUUAAAAUUCUCCCAGGAGCGAAGGGCCUCUGAAUGCUUAUUUCUGAUAAUCUUAUUUAUGUCCCGGGCCACGCCCCCAUCACACCCCCACUCCAAAGGCUUCUCUUGUGCUGCCUGUGCCCUGGACUACUCACUGACUGACCUUAUCUGCCUUUGGGGAUUGGAGGUGAGGCGGUCUGGUGUCAACAGUACAGACUCCAGGAGUAGGUGAGAAACCCCGUGGCAAGAUCAUCUGAGCACUGCUAACAGCCCGAUGGAUGAGGAGAGUCACGCACACACCCGUCUACAGACCCACUUUACAGAUGGAGUGACGAGCUGAGAUGAACUAGUGGGCAGAGAGCCAAUCCAGAGGAAACCAAGCAUGCAGCCAGCGAGUCAGACAUUUGUGGGAAUUGGGAAAACAUUGCACCUGCCCCACUGGAGACAUGGAUGUUAGAUUUGGUUUUAGGUAUACAUUCCAAGUACUGUGUAUGACCGCUUUCCCCAAGGACCCUCUGGGAGCAUGAGACAGGGAGGACAGGAAAGAAUCUCUGAUAAUAAAAAAACAAAAACAAAACAAAA